ACAGUAUAGACAUUAGUACAGCAACAGUAUAGACUGUAGAACAGCAACAGUAUAGACUGUAGAACAGCUAGCAACAGUAUAGACUGUAGAACAACAACAGUAUAGACAUUAGUACAGCAAUAAUAUAGACUGUAGAACAGCAACAGUAUAGACAUUAGUACAGCAACAGUAUAGACUGUAGAACAGCAACAGUAUAGACUGUAGAACAGCAACAGUACAUUAGUACGGGAACAGUAUAGACUGUAUGGAUUAUCGGCGGAAACUGUGACCAGCACGUCAGGGAACAUACUUCAAGCUCGGCUUGCGCACACGAGUGGCGGAACCACGACGACGACGUUCCAGUGUACGGUCACAUAUUGACCGACAACAUGCAAGGAUCCAUGUCCAGAACUACACUAUUACUGCCGCACAGACACAACUUAGGAGCGGUCUCAUUACCCUGGGGUUACCUAUCGACCGUCUAAAAGGUGAAAUUACAAGCAUCGUACUUCGUGGUUAAAUGGCGAAAAGGCGACGGUGUGCCGUGCUCUUGGUGUCGGCUGGCCUGCUAAUUUUGGUAGGCAAGCUGUAUACAUCCGGACCUGUUCCUGAGCUGGCACUGAAAACAGCGGGAACCAUCGUCUGGGCUGACAGAAAUCUCCCAAAAGAAGAAAAUAAUGAAGAACGCAAGCACGAUGGCGUUACCAAUACAUCAGUAGAACAGCAGAAUGAUGG